GAGGAAAGUCCGGGCUUCAUAGAGCAAGGUGCCAGGUAACGCCUGGGGGGCGCAAGCCUACGACAAGUGCAGCAGAGAGAAGACCGCCGAUGGCCCGCAAGGGAACAGGUAAGGGUGAAAGGGUGCGGUAAGAGCGCACCGGACGACUAGUAAUAGUUCGUAGCAGGGUAAACUCCACCUGAAGCAAGACCAAAUAGGCCUCCACAUUGCGUUGCUCGCGUAAGGAGGCGGGUAGGUUGCUCGAGCCAGUGAGUGAUUGCUGGCCUAGACGAAUGGCUACCGCCGCGCAAGCGGAACAGAACCCGGCUUA
rnacentral:RNase_P_RNA from 1 species